AUACAGCCUGUGUCCUUUUGUUUAUUCCUUCCUAUGUGUUAAUCUUCUGCAUUUGUCCUGCUGAAUCUCUUUGUAUUGAUUGCAGGCCACUUCUUUAAUUUAUCAAGCUCGUAUUGUAUUUUAUUUCUGUCCUGCGCAUUAUUUGCCACCCUCCCACCUUGGUGAAACGCUCAGAUUUGAUUAGCAUACUCCUGGUCCAGUCUCCAAGUUGUUAAUAAAACUAUUGAAUUGUAUUGACCUUGCAGGGCACUCUGUAGGACCCCACUUAACAUUUCUAUCCACCGGGCUCUGAACUGUUGAGAAUACAGCAGUGAUCCCAGUGCUUUCGAAUUGAGGCUGCUGGAUGCUCUAGAUCUGCUUACAUCAGACCCCAUCUGCCAGGACCACACGCUGGUCCUGACCAACAGUGAGAGCAGAGACACGAAGGUGGCCCUCACAAACACCAUCUCCACUGAGACACGCCUCAGGGCAGCCAAGCGGAAAAGCCUUUUCGGAAUCACCAUUCGUGUCCGGGCCCGUGUUUGCCACUUGAGCCAGAGUCCAGUUUUGGUUUCACCUACGAGGAGGAGCCCCGGUCCCGGAGAAGCGCACCCCGUGCCCCACUGCCCCUUGUCUUGCUGCCCGGGGUCCUCUCCCUGAUCCCUUUUGACAACAUUUACUUUCUUCAUUUGGCAAGCCAGCUCACCUCUAAGUCUUAUCAUAUUUAAAUGUUUAACUGCUCUCAGACCCUAAUUAAGAGUAGUAGCAGCAGCAAUAGCUGUAGCUGUAGGAGUAGCUGUGAUUUCUCCUAUCUUAAAUUUUAAUGGCUUUUGUACAAGGCUCUGCGGAAAGGGUGAUUAAUGGCACCUGGAGAGGCUGAGGUAAAUGUUUCUCUAUGAUGAUUUUUGCCCUUUCUAUUCAUGACCCCCUUUCUUGACUUAUGAAAAACUAAAAAGUCCACUUAGAAAUAAUUCUGUGAUUACAUUUUUUUCUGGGGUUCAGUAGGUGCUUAAUACAGCACUUAAUAUAUGUGUUGAAUAGAAGCUGAUCUUUUAAAGACCCAGCUCUUGGUGGUCUCCAUGCCAACUCAGCUUUGCUUUGAGCAGUAAUUACUAAUAUUGUUGGUAGUCUCCAAGGAUUCAGUGGUUUUGGAGACUAAGCUCCCCUAGGCUAACCUUUAUUUUUUCAUCUUUUGUACUAGGCUGAGAGGAGUAGAUGGACUUUUCAUUUGAUAAAAACAUCAGUGCCUGAAGUUUUAUUGUUUUAGGUGUGUGGAAUGGGUCAUUGAGUCAUAAGAUGUGAAACAUCUGUUUGCAUUUGCAGUGAGACAGCUAGAGGAGUCUUAACACUAAAAGAAAAGGAAAAAAAAAAACCAACACAUCAAAAGAUGUGAAAACCCUAGUGUCAAGUGACAGCAUUGUGAUUAUACUCUGGUACAGAAAAUAUUUAUUGUGGUUUGUAACCACGUCCACCAGGCGGUUAAUUAGCAAAGUGUAGAUAUUGUCACAGUGGAAGAAGGUGAAUGCAAUUCAUAGAAAAUCCUCCAAGAUAAGCAGCAGACGUAAAGGUGAUUAAGCUGUCAAUAAAGAAGAAACACAGGGGGAGGGGGAAGCA
ensembl:lncRNA